AGUUUUCAAAGGGCAGCCUUAUAUACGGAGUCACCUCUCCCCAGAGAGGUCACAGCCAACAUUCAGAGGCCUCCCAGGGCCCCCUCUCCCUGGAUAAACCACUUCAGCUGCCCCCCAUUUUUCUCGAGGGAGAAAAAGGGGAAUCCUCUGUCCAGAAUGAGCAGGAAGGAGAGCCAAGCCUACAGUCACCCAGCUUAGAGCUCCAGUCCCCUGCGUGGCCACGCCAUGCAGGAGUGGCUCAGGAGCCCCUGAAAGUGUCCAGCAGCUACCUCAGUGACACCCAGAGCAGCGAGAGUCAUGUUUCCAGCGUGCAGCACCCGAGGCCAGAGGAGGGCAGCCAUGCCAGCCUGAGCAGCGGGUACGCAGGGGACAAGGAGGGCAGCGACAUCAGCUUGGUGGGCAGCCACCGGAGAGUGCGGCUGAACAGAAGGCUCAACACCCAGGCGGCCAGUAACCAAACCAGCCAGCUGGGCUCCAUAGACCCUCCCAGCUCUCUAAAGAGCCGGCUGACUGGCCCCGCCCACAGCACCAAGCAGACUGGAGGGAAAGAGUGAGGCCAGCCUGCCCGGCAGCGGCAGCGGCAGCAGCAUCCUGUCCAGCGCCAGCUUCAUCAGCUUGGGCAGCAGUGCCCUCACCUACAAGGUGAGCAGCGGGCUGCUGACUUCCACAGCCAGCCUUCCCUCCACCCAGGCCAGCAGCCGUCAGAGCGUCCGGCUGGAUGGCAGUGCCCAAAACAGGCAGAGCAGCCACACCAGCGUGCAGGAGGACAAGACGGGCGGCAACGUGAAAACCAGUGAGCAGGUCACCACGGGGGAGCAGCCUGCCCAGGUGUGCAUGCCUUUGUGAGAAUCCUCUCCAGCAGCCAGAGUCUCCCAGAAAACAACACACAGGCCCAGCAAACACAGGCUGCACCCAGAGUGGAUAUUCCCAAAACAAGUAGGAAAGGUGUUUUCAAAAGCACACACUGACUGUGUCAACCAUCAGUGGGUAAUCCCAUUUGUAGCAACAAGCAUCAGUGGGCAGGCCACAUGUAGCAGGAAGGAUCUAUGCUGAGCACCGCCUAUCCUGAGAACACAGUCAGUGAGGAGACUGUCUAUACUGAGAACCACUGUUGCUAGGAAGAGCUGUAGUAUCAAGAUUCACCAAUGCUGAGUCCACCUGUGUCAAAACAGCGAAGAGUAAUGACAUCGACUGUGAACUUCAGUGACAAGCCAUCUAUAACAAGAUCCAUCAAUGGCAAAACCAUCUGUAGUCAGCAGCAUCCUGGUGGGACCCCCUGUACCAAAACUCAUCAGUGGCGACAGAUGUUCUCGAUGGCAAACGCUGACGAUAUUAAGAACUGUCACGAGUUAGAACCUUCCAUGAUGAAACCAUCCUAAAUGAUGAAUGCCAUCUGCAACCAACACCAGCCACGAUGAGCUCAGAAGAAACAAGCUGCAACCAUGGUUGGGACUGUCCAUAUCAAGAACCAUCUGCAGUGAGCGCCAUGCGUGGAGAGCCACAUCCACAUGAAACUUCAUCCUGGCCAAGCAGCACCACACUCUGUCCAUCAUUGUCACUGCCCGCAGAAGCACUAGCAAGACAGCCACGGUGCACACGGAGCACCUUCACGACUCUCAGCUCCCCCAAGGAGUCCAGACUAAGUGACUGUCACCAGAGAAGGAUCAUCAGGAGCAGCCAGGGAUGCCCCCGGCACACAGGGACUAGGUCUAGUGAGAACAUUAGAGGGCGGUGUAAAUGGAUCCCCAUGCCUGGGCACCUGUAAUCCCAACUACUUGGGAGGCACCAUCCCAGAGAGCUCCAAGCGUCCUUUUUUUUUUUUUUUUCCUUUGAGUGCUGUCUCUGGACAUCUUCAGCCCAGAAUCUUCUCAGGAGCAAAGGCUUCCUGAUGCCUCAUUCAUGUCAAGAAAGGAGGCCAGGAGCCAUCCUGUGUUCAGAUGGUUGAGACAGUGACUACGAUGGCAGGACAAUGCCGUGAGAAGCACUUCAUGGUGACAGAGCCCAACCCAGCCGGGAACAGCUGCGAUGGGGAAGCUCUGGAGCAUUUUGUGAGCACCGUCUCGGUGGAUGGGAAAGCCGAAGUCUCUGCCCGUCUCUUACUGGAGGCACUAAACCCCCUCCCUGGGUUGACCUCACAGACAUUGAAGUGAGUCUGCCCACAAAGGAAAAGAGGCCAGAGACUGUCGUGAAGACAUCCACUAGGUACCAGAAGGAAAGCUGAGGGGGCAGCAAAGACAAUAAAAGGUGUCUAGAGAGGUCAUAUGUGUGUGGGUCUGUGUGUGCGUUCCCGGCCGAGCUCACAGGAGGGGUGGGCCACAAACACACUAAAGAACCAUGGAGAGAGUUGGGCAUGGCUACCAACUCUGCCACUGCUGUGCUGGCCAUCUGGGCAAAAUAGUUAAACUUUCAGAGCCUCAGUUUCCUCAUCUGGGAAAUGGGGACAGUAACCCCUAUUUCAUACAUAGGAUGGUUAUGUGGAUUACAUGAAAAUGUAUAUCAAGUACCCAGCAAGGGAUAAGUACUAAUGUAAUGUAUUUCUUUCCCUUUUCUUUUUUUUUUCCUUUUUAUUUUUUAACUUUUAAGUUCAGGGGCACAUGUACAGGAUGUGCAGGUUUGUUACAGAGGAGAAUGUGUGUCAUGGGGGUUUGUUAUACAGAUUAUUUUAUAACCCAGGCAUUAAGUGUAGUAUCCAUUAGUUAUUUUUCCUGAUCUUCUCCCUCCUCCCACUCCCCACCCUCCGAUAGACCCCAGUGUGUGUUGUUCCCCUCUAUGUGUCUAUGUGUUCUCAUCAUUUAGCUCCCACUUCUAAGUGAGAAUAUGCGGUAUUUGGUUUUCUGUUCCUGCCUUAGUUUACUAAGGAUAAUGGCCUCCACCUCCAUCCCUGUCCCUGCAAAGGGCAUGAUCUCUUUUUUUUAUAGCUGCAUAAUAUUCCAU
rnacentral:lncRNA from 1 species